CCGUAAGCAGUCUGUCGUGCUCCUGUGUGAGGCCCUUAGCCUGCCUCCUCAUAGCCUCCAACUCAACCCGGGCCCUAAGGACAACUCGGGAGAAAACAUCACAUUUGAAAACACAUCUGAUUUUAAUUUAACGUAUAUACAGUAUUUGAGAGUGUGAGAGGUGUCAAAUUGUUGACUGAUAGAAUAAAGAUGCAAAUGUAGCAAGUAAGUAAAUACCCAGAAUUCUCCGGCUGAUUUUGACUGAAUUGGCUCUGGUGUGGCCCAACAACGAAUCGAGAGGAAAUCCAUACUUCUGAAUGAGGCAGGAAUGCAAUAGCUUCUGUGUAAUACCAUGAUUUGGGGUUUAGUUUGAAGGGUUAUCUCCGGAAUGCUUCAGACCUGUUUCAGCUGCAGGUUCUCCGCCUGGUACCGGGUGGCUGCCUGGUUAGCGCCAACCAUCUGGGCCUGAAGUCCGGCGCUGUCCGUGGUUGCUAAGGCAACCUGGUUCACCAAGGUCACAAAGCGACGCAUGAUACAGUGAGGCGCUCACAAGACCAGCCCGGACAGGGUGACAGAAAACCCAUUGAACCCCCAAUGUCCACAAUCUACAGGGAGUCAGGGAGGCCUAUAUUCCGGUCAACUAUGUCCAUGCAGCAGUUUCAUAUCCUCUCAAGAGUUAUCAGAUUUGAUGACAGAGCUACACGACCUUUCCGCUGGCGAGACGACAAACUGGCUGCCAUCAGGAACGUUUGGGACAGGUGGGUGGAGCGCCUACCACUGAUGUACAACCCAGGCCCUGAGGUGACUGUGGACGAGCGCCUGGUCCCAUACAGAGGUCGCCGUCCAUUCAAACAGUACAUCCCAAGCAAACCAGGCAAGUAUGGGAUCAAGAUCUGGGCAGCAUGUGAUGCCAGGAGCAGCUACGCCUGGAACAUGCAGGUUUACUCAGUGAAACCUGUUACUGGAAGGCCAGAAAAAAAACAAGGCAUACGUGUUGUGUUGGACAUGACAGCCGGUCUCAAGGGGCAUAACAUCACAUGCGAUAACUUUUUCACAUCUAUGUGGUGUGGACAGCGAUUGACCCAGCCUGGAAUAAGGGGAAAUGUUUCAAGAGGAGGCUCUUCCCGGCAGAGCUUGCGAAAGCUUUAGUGACUCCUCUAAUUCAACGGCCCCAGCACCUUCCCCGCAC
ensembl:lncRNA